rnacentral:tRNA from 1 species
UUGUAUGUAGCUUAAGCUUAAAGCAUAGCACUGAAAAUGCUAAAAUGGUAUGACCCUCCAACAAA